GUCGGCUGCUUUCAUGCUGCCCUGAGCAUUCAAGUCUAGAGAAGUCUUUUUUUGGAAAGAGAAGUUAAAGACGACAUCUUUUAGACCGUGUCAAGGAGGUGUUUGAGAAACAGACGUUAAAUAUAGUAUUUUUAGGACCCUGUCAAGGAGUUUGAGAAAAAGAUGUUAGAGAUGAUAUCUUUUUGAAUCAUGUGGUUAUGCCUUU